GACGAACGCUGGCGGCGUGCUUAACACAUGCAAGUCGAACGGAAAGGCCCUGCUUGCAGGGUGCUCGAGUGGCGAACGGGUGAGUAACACGUGGGUGAUCUGCCCCUUACUUUGGGAUAAGCCUGGGAAACUGGGUCUAAUACUGGAUAGGACCAUGCUGUAGGUGGUGUGGUGGAAAGAUUAGUUUCGGUAAGGGAUGAGCUCGCGGCCUAUCAGCUUGUUGGUGGGGUAAUGGCCUACCAAGGCGUCGACGGGUAGCCGGCCUGAGAGGGUGGACGGCCGCAUUGGGACUGAGAUGCGGCCCAGACUCCUACGGGAGGCAGCAGUGGGGAAUAUUGCACAAUGGGCGCAAGCCUGAUGCAGCGACGCCGCGUGGGGGAUGACGGCCUUCGGGUUGUAAACUCCUUUCAGCCAUGACGAAGCCCUUGUGGUGACGGUAGUGGGAGAAGAAGCACCGGCUAACUACGUG
rnacentral:rRNA from 1 species